rnacentral:rRNA from 1 species
UACGAAGGGGGGCUAGCGUUGCUCGGAAUCACUGGGCGUAAAGCGCACGUAGGCGGAUUGCUAAGUCAGGGGUGAAAUCCUGGAGCUCAACUCCAGAACUGCCUUCGAUACUGAGAGUCUCGAGUCCGGGAGAGGUGAGUGGAACUGCGAGUGUAGAGGUGAAAUUCGUAGAUAUUCGCAAGAACACCAGUGGCGAAGGCGGCUCACUGGCCCGGUACUGACGCUGAGGUGCGAAAGCGUGGGGAGCAAACAGG